UAGUCCACGCCCUAAACGAUGAAUGUUAGUCGUCGGGUAGCUAGUCUAUUCGGUGAUGCAGCUAACGCAUUAAACAUUCCGCCUGGGGAGUACGGUCGCAAGAUUAAAACUCAAAGGAAUAGACGGGGACCCGCACAAGUGGUGGAGCAUGUGGUUUAAUUCGAAGAUACGCGAAGAACUUACCCCCUAGCCUUGACAUAUUAAAGAACACUUUAGAGAUAGAGUGGUGCCUUCGGGAGCUUUUAUACAGGUGCUGCACGGCUGUCGUCAGCUCGUGUCGUGAGAUGUUGGGUUAGGUCCCGCAACGAGCGCAACCCUCGUCACUAGUUACUAACGGUUCGGCCGAGGACUCUAGUGAGACUGCCUUCGCAAGGAGGAGGAAGGUGAGGACGACGUCAAGUCAUCAUGGGCCCUUAGGCUAGGGGCAACACACGUGCUACAAUGGGCCAGGGACAAUGAGAAGCGAUACCGCGAGGGUGGGAGC
rnacentral:rRNA from 1 species